rnacentral:rRNA from 1 species
GUGGGGAAUUUUGGACAAUGGGCGCAAGCCUGAUCCAGCCAUUCCGCGUGCAGGAUGAAGGCCCUCGGGUUGUAAACUGCUUUUGGACGGAACGAAAAGGCGCCGGUUAAUACCUGGCGCUCAUGACGGUACCGUCAGAAUAAGCACCGGCUAACUACGUGCCAGCAGCCGCGGUAAUACGUAGGGUGCGAGCGUUAAUCGGAAUUACUGGGCGUAAAGCGUGCGCAGGCGGUGAUGUAAGACAGGUGUGAAAUCCCCGGGCUUAACCUGGGAACUGCAUUUGUGACUGCAUCGCUGGAGUGCGGCAGAGGGGGAUGGAAUUCCGCGUGUAGCAGUGAAAUGCGUAGAUAUGCGGAGGAACACCGAUGGCGAAGGCAAUCCCCUGGGCCUGCACUGACGCUCAUGCACGAAAGCGUGGGGAGCAAACAGG